rnacentral:rRNA from 1 species
AGCAGCCGCGGUAAUUCCAGCUCCAAUAGCGUAUAUUAAAGUUGUUGCAGUUAAAAAGCUCGUAGUUGAAUUUCGGGAUUAACGUGACGGUCGUGCCUUAAGGGGUAUGAACUGUUACAGUUAAUUUCUCACCUUCUGGAGAAAUAUGAUGUCCUUAAUUGGGUGUCAUAUGGAACCAGGACUUUUACCUUGAAAAAAUUAGAGUGUUUAAAGCAAGCUUAUUGCUCGAAUACAUUAGCAUGGAAUAAUAAAAUAGGACGGCAUGAUUCUAUUUUGUUGGUUUCUAGGUAUCACCGUAAUGAUUAAUAGGGAUAGUUGGGGGCAUUAGUAUUCAAUUGUCAGAGGUGAAAUUCUUGGAUUUAUUGAAGACUAACCACUGCGAAAGCAUUUGCCAAGGAUGUUUUCAUUAAUCAAGAACGAAAGUUAGGGGAUCGAAGACGAUCAGAUACCGUCGUAGUCUUAACCAUAAACUAUGCCGACUAGGAAUCAGGCGAUGUUAAUUUUUAAUGUACUCGUUUGGCACC